GACAAAGAUCAACCAAAAGGAAUAUUGCUCAGAACAAGUAAGAAAGUUAUCUGUGUUGGUUAAUUCAUCGAGAAUACCCAACCUGUGUCAUUACUGAAUCUACAACCUGCAAAUCUGAUUGCUUGGCAGUAACCAAAAUCUGGAACUCAACACAUCCAAUCACCAAUUCAUGGCUGUUUCAGAGGUAUUUAUAUUUCUUCUUUUGGUACAACACUGAUUGAUAUUUUUGUUUCCGAAUUAUUUAUAUUACCAUCCAAAAGGGAUUAUUUUGAGUGUCAGUAUCAGUUUUAUGCCUGUUGGUGUUUGUAAAAUUAUCAGAAACCAAAUUUGGAAAGAGGAAAAACAUGAAACUGCUUUUUCCCUGUAUGGGAUGAUGUUUAAUUCUCUAAUGGCAAAUGCUUCUUUUAGACCA